AGCUUGCUGCUUCGCUGACGAGUGGCGGACGGGUGAGUAAUGUCUGGGAAACUGCCUGAUGGAGGGGGAUAACUACUGGAAACGGUAGCUAAUACCGCAUAACGUCGCAAGACCAAAGAGGGGGACCUUCGGGCCUCUUGCCAUCGGAUGUGCCCAGAUGGGAUUAGCUAGUAGGUGGGGUAACGGCUCACCUAGGCGACGAUCCCUAGCUGGUCUGAGAGGAUGACCAGCCACACUGGAACUGAGACACGGUCCAGACUCCUACGGGAGGCAGCAGUGGGGAAUAUUGCACAAUGGGCGCAAGCCUGAUGCAGCCAUGCCGCGUGUAUGAAGAAGGCCUUCGGGUUGUAAAGUACUUUCAGCGGGGAGGAAGGGAGUAAAGUUAAUACCUUUGCUCAUUGACGUUACCCGCAGAAGAAGCACCGGCUAACUCCGUGCCAGCAGCCGCGGUAAUACGGAGGGUGCAAGCGUUAAUCGGAAUUACUGGGCGUAAAGCGCACGCAGGCGGUUUGUUAAGUCAGAUGUGAAAUCCCCGGGCUCAACCUGGGAACUGCAUCUGAUACUGGCAAGCUUGAGUCUCGUAGAGGGGGGGUAGAAUUCCAGGUGUAGCGGUGAAUGCGUAGAGAUUUGGAAGAUACGGUGGCGAAGGCGCCCCCUGGACGAGACUGACGCUCAGUGCCAAGCGUGGGACAAAGGGAUAGAUACCCUGGUUAUUUCAC
rnacentral:rRNA from 1 species